CACAACAAACUUAUAUCAGACCUGUAUACAAUGUUUCACUGUUUAUGUGAGGGAAUAGAAAAGCAGGGAAACCCAACACUUCUCAGUGAGAUCUACACUAAGCUACAGAAGGCAGAGGUGGAGAGAUCAAUGAUGAGCAUGAGGUCCGAUUGAUUGAAAAAGCAUCCAGGAAAGCUGCAACAGAAGAUAUCCCAAUCAAGCUGAAUUAUAUUUUCACACCGUUACUUGGACAAAAGCAACCCAUCAGAACUGUGCUGACUAAAGGAGUCGCUGGCAUUGGAAAAACAGUCUCUGUGCAGAAGUUAAUUCUUGACUGGGCUUCAGGGAAAGUGAAUCAGGACAUCCACCUCAUAUUUCCACUUCCUUUUAGAGAGCUAAAUUUAUUGAAGAACCAAACAUUCAAUCUUCAAGAUCCUUUUCAACUUUACAUGGGCACAAAACAACUUGAAAUCUCUCCAAAUGAAGGUAAAAUCAUUUUCAUCUUUGAUGGUUUGGAUGAGUGUCAUCUGUCUCUGGAUUUUCAGAGAAAUGUGAAGUUGUGUGAUGUGACAAAAUCAGUCUCUGGACGUGCUGCUGACAAACCUCAUUGCGGGGAAUCUGCCUCCCUCUGCUCUCAUCUGGAUCACCUCCAGACCAGCAGCAGCUGAUCUCAUCUCCUCUGAGUGUGUCCAUCGACUGACAGAGGUACGAGGCUUCAAUGACCCUCAGAAGGAGGAAUAUUUCAGGAAGAGAUUCAAAGAUCAGAGUCUGGGCCAAUAGAAUCAUCUCACACUUGAAGUCAUCAAGGAGCCUCUACAUCAUGUGUCACAUCCCAGUGUUCUGCUGGAUCUCAGCCACUGUUCUUGAGAAGAUGUUGAGAGAAACAGAGAGUGGAGAGAUUCCCAAGACUCUCACUCAAAUGUACACACACUUCCUGAUCAUUCAGAUGAGAACUAUGCAUGAGAAGGCCUUUAAAAUGAAAGUGAAAGAUGAAGACAUGAUCCUCAAACUGGGGAAACUGGCUUUUAGGCACCUUAUGAAAGGCAAUGCAAUCUUCUAUGAAGAAGAUCUGAGAGAGUGUGGCAUUGAUGUGAGAGAAGCAUCAGUGUAGUCGGGGUUGUGCGCUCAGAUCUUCAGAGUGGAGUUUGGUCUGUGUGAGAGGAAAGUCUACUGCUUUGUUCAUCUGAGCAUUCAGGAACAUCUAGCAGCUGUGCUUGGCUGUUAUAGUCUGUCAGAGAAUUGCUGUGCUGAUCUGGCAUCAGUAUUAAACUUCAAUAAUCUGCAGAGUUCAGGUGUGUAGCUCCUUUCUGCUGGACUGAGAAAUCCUCACUGCAAACUAGAAACAUUGUGUGUCGCAAAGAUGAAGAUGGAGGUGGAGUUCAAUUAGUAGAUGACAUCGUUGAUGACUGCACUCUCCUGAUUGGUCCACUGUUUGGAGUUAAAAGGCAGAGCUGAGAUGUCUGGAGUGUGGAGGCUUGGAGCAAGAGUGCCUUCUGCUGACUUUUUCUUGUGUGUUUGUGGUUAAUUUGUUUUUGUUGAUGAAAAGUGGUGACAGCUUCUUAGUCCUCUUGUGGGAGGUUUUAUUUAACCCUAACAUGUGAGUUUUGUACUUUUUCUGUAAGACCAAGAUUUGUUUUGUUUCUUCUUUUUUUGUCUUUGUGGGAUGCUGUAGGGAAGUGGUUGUCAUUUAUUUUUGUCUACCCUUUUUCUCCUGUUUAAGGAUAGCCAGGGAGAUAGUGUAAUAUUUUGUAUUUUAUUUAUUUUAUUUUUUUAUUUGUUAGAUUAGGUAGUUUGCUUUUGGGAGUUAGUAUGUUUUGUUUAUUAUGUUGGCCUUGACCCUUCCUGAAGCUCUGUGUGCUUCCCUGUGUUCAAUAAAUUGCAAUGUCUUGCAUUGAAGUUGGUGUGGCGUGUGAGUCAGUAGAAGGGGGAAAGCUCCCUCCAUUCCUCCACCACUUUCUUUAUUACUCCUUCCCAUCCCUAGACUGGGGAGGUAUGUAAUAUGAUCCUGACUCGCCGUCUCCUCUUUUGAAGCGCUCCUGUUCAAGACGAGACGUCGCAUCAUUGUUUUUUUUAUUUUAUAAAAUUAUUUUAUUUAUUUUAUAAAAAGUUUUUUUUUUUUAAUAUUGUGAGUGCACACAAAUAAAAGUAGACCCUUUACAAUUCCGAAUGAUGCAUUACUCUUACCUUUAUGAGCAAAAAUUAUGGCGUAAGUUGUUUCCAUUGAAAAAAAUGCAAUUGAUUGCACUGGUGCCUCCAUGUCCUGUGCUUUAACUUCCGUUCUCCGCACAAACUACUGGAUGCA